rnacentral:rRNA from 1 species
AAGCCUGACGAAGCAACGCCGCGUGAGUGAUGAAGGUUUUCGGAUCGUAAAGCUCUGUUGUUAGGGAAGAACAAGUGCGAGAGUAACUGCUCGCACCUUGACGGUACCUAACCAGAAAGCCAACGGCUAACUACGUGCCGCAGCCGCGGUAAUACGUAGGUGGCAAGCGUUGUCCGGAAUUAUUGGGCGUAAAGGGCUCGCAGGCGGUUUCUUAAGUCUGAUGUGAAAGCCCCCGGCUCAACCGGGGAGGGUCAUUGGAAACUGGAAACUUGAGUGCAGAAGAGGAGAGUGGAAUCCACGUGUAGCGGUGAAAUGCGUAGAGAUGUGGAGGAACACCAGUGGCGAAGGCGACUCUCUGGUCUGUAACUGACGCUGAGGAGCGAAAGCGUGGGGAGCGAACAGGAUUAGAUACCCUGGUAGUCCACGCCGUAAACGAUGAGUGCUAAGUGUUAGGGGGUUUCCGCCCCUUAGUGCUGCAGCUAACGCAUUAAGCACUCCGCCUGGGGAGUACGGUCGCAAGACUGAAACUCAAAGAAA